UACGGGGGGCAAGCGUUGUUCGGAAUUACUGGCGUAAAGGGCUCGUAGGCGGCCAACUAAGUCAGACGUGAAAUCCCUCGGCUUAACCGGGGAACUGCAUCUGAUACUGGAUGGCUUGAGUUCGGGAGAGGGAUGCGGAAUUCCGAGGUGUAGGCGGUGAAAUUGCGUAGAUAUCUGGAGGAACACCGGUGGCGAAGGCGGCAUCCUGGACCGACACUGACGCUGACGGAGGCGAAAGCCAGGGGAGCAACGGG
rnacentral:rRNA from 1 species